rnacentral:lncRNA from 1 species
UUCCAACUCCUGUGCUUUCUCCUUAGACAAAGCUCCCCAUCUAAUCCGCGGUUGACCCUGGGCGCCCCUCCGCUUCUUCUUCACCCAGAGAUCGACGUCCAUCACUAGUAGUCUAUGAAGAGUUGAAAGAGACUCUCCCGGAAUAACCUUGCAGUCCUUGCACAAGCCCCUAUCGCUCGUUCGGAUGAGGAUGUAGUCAAUCUGAGUCCUCGCCGCCGAACUCUUGAAGGUGACCAAAUGCUCCUCCCUUUUCCGGAAUGUCGAGUUCGCCAAUUAGGAGCUCGGAGGCCCUGGCGAAAUCAAGCCGCUAGCGAAGUGCCUCCUCCGUUCCUGACACCAAAGCCAAAGCCCCCGUGCACCUCGUCAUUUCCACCAGCCUCAGCCCCAAUAUGACCAUUAAAGUCCCCUCCAAUAACUAACUUCUCAGACUGGGGAACUCCCCACCAGAUCAUCCAAGUCCUCCCAAUAGCGCCUUUUAGCCUCCUCGUCUAAGCCUGCGUGUGGCGCGUAAGCGCUGAUGACGUUGAGGACUCCACCCCCGAUAACCAGCUUAAUAGACAUUAACUUGUCAUUCACUCGCCUAACCUCGACCACGGACUCCCUU